GUAUAAGGCAGACACCGAAGGCGCGGGAUAGCAUUUAAAAGUAUCGGUAGGGGAGCAUACUCACAGCGUCGAAUGGUGUACGUAAGUUAUCCUGGAGCGGUGAGUAAAGCAAAUGUAGGAAUAAGUAACGAUAAGGAGGGUUAGAUUCCCUCCCGCUGUAAGACCAAGGUUUCCCGGGCAAUGCCAAUCAGCCCGGGGUCAGUCGGGUCCUAAGUCUAAGCCGAACGGCGAUGGCGAUGGCAGAGACGGUUAAUAUUCCGUCACUGCCGCAUGGGGCGACGUGGAGACGGAGCAGUGAAACCACCGCGGGGCGACGGAAGUCCCCGUUGAAGAGUGUAGGUGUUGAGGAUGGCAGGCAAAUCCACCGUCCGAGCUGAACUUGAUAGUAUGGAGUCUUCUUCGGAAGAAUCCAAUAGUGUGGGUAAUCAUACUCCCGAGAAAAUCCGCUAAGCUUAACCCAUGCGGCACCCGUACCGCAAACGGACACACGUGGUCGGGUAGAACAUACU
rnacentral:rRNA from 1 species